rnacentral:rRNA from 1 species
UACGGGGGGGGGCAAGCGUUGUUCGGAAUUACUGGGCGUAAAGGGCUCGUAGGCGGCCAACUAAGUCAGACGUGAAAUCCCUCAGCUUAACUGGGGAACUGCGUCUGAUACUGGAUGGCUUGGAUCCGGAAGAGGAAAGUGGAAUUCCUGGUGUAGCGGUGAAAUGCGCAGAUAUCAGGAGGAACACCGGUGGCGAAGGCGGCAUCCUGGACCGGUAUUGACGCUGAGGCGCGAAAGCUAGGGGAGCAAACGGG